GUUUUGAUCUUCUGCAUGGUGGGGGCCACCUUAUGCUCUCUGCUUAGAUGUCUCACAGACAUGCCUGGUUGGCAUGCGUGCUGCGCCUGUUGUUCUGCGAACUUUUAGCCAAAGAUUGAGCAAGGGUUUCAAUGAUGCCAUCAAUGGAUUCCAUGAUGAUGGCUGGUCAGUGUUGUCUUCAGAUUGAGUCCAAGAUAUAAUAAUUGCAAUUAAUUCAACCAAGAAUAUGGGCACCCAUGUCACUAAUGCAAAUGCUCUCCCACUGCCUAAAGACAUUCUCUGUGCAAAGGCCUCCAUGUUAAUCCAGAAUGUUCCUCCUGCACUGCUGGUUCAAUUUCUAAGGGAGCAUCGUUCCAAAUGGGCUGAUUACAACAUUGAUGCGUAUUCUGCUGCAUCACUGAAAGCUGGCUCAUAUGCCUUUCCAGGAUUAAGGCCUACAAGAUUUUCUGGGAGCCAAAUCAUCAUGCCUCUUGCUCACACAGUGGAAAACGAAGAGUUUCUUGAAGUAGUUCGACUCGAAGGACAUGUCAUCACCCAAGAAGAAGCUGUUCUGUCAAGAGAUAUCCAUCUCCUGUAGCUUUGCAGUGGAGCUUUCUCCGAGCUUGUUUUUGCUCCAAUCGAUGAAUUAUUCCCUGAUGAUGCUCUGCUGCUACCGUCUGGUUUCCAAGUCUUUCCACUGGAUUCAAAAAUAGUUGAGUCUAAAUCUACUGAAUGGCUAUUUCCUGAAUCUUGUAUUAAACUGGAUGAUAUU